GACAAAAGUGAAACAGAAAAAAGGGGAAGGAAAGGAAAGAAAAGAAAUUGGUUAUCGGUUGGUUUGGUUUUGGUUGUUGAAGUUUGAUUCAAAGUUCUGUUUGCAAAUUGCAAGGCAACACAACCACCUGUUCUACUUCUACACCCCUAAUACUCCUCAUACUCAACUCAAUUUGGUGGCGGAACCCCAGCGGCAGACCUCCUCCACCAACUCCUCUUUCUCCGUUGGGAAUCCUAUUUCCAAGCCUUCUGAGUUCUUGAUAAAGAUGACAAGCUCGUCUGUUGAGUUAGCAAAACAUGCAAACUCUGGGCAUCAUGUGAGAGAGAACAGUGAAUAUACAAGUCAUAUCAAAUGAACUGCGUUCAGUGGAAACUGAUAUCUUACAACCUCAAGCUGAAGCUAGGACUAAAUCUUUCAUGUGGUGGAUCAAGGCCUUUUUAUGGUGCAUGGUAGUGAUAAUAUUUCUUUUCAUUUCCUGGAAAUGGGGAGUUCCAUUUAUUUUCCAGAAGGUUCUCAUCUCUCUCAUGCAGUGGGAAGCCACUGCCUUUGGCCGUCCCGUUCUUGCCCUCGUGCUUGUUGCUUCUCUGACUUUUUUCCCUGUGUUCUUAAUCCCUUCUGGCCCUUCAAUGUGGUUAUCUGGAAUGAUUUUUGGUGGCUGUCUUUGAUCAAAGGUCAAGUGGAUCUCACAUUGGAGAUAUUUGGUUGCGUUAAGUCAUAGGAAUAUGCCUUGACACAAUUUACAGCCGCUCAGAUUUGGGUGGAGAACAUGUAUAGAUGUGGAAGAUGUGCUGCAUAUGUUUGAGCUAGGAAGCAGUUGGGCAUACAUGAGGCUCCAAAUAUCUUCACUAUAGUCUUGAAGAGAUUUCAGUGAUCUAGUGCUUGUAUGGAAAAGAGCACAUUUUGUACAAAAUGCUUUGAGGUCUUCAUCAAAAGGUUGUGAAAUUGACCUCAAAUUCCAAAUUACAUUCAUUCAGGCUAUCAAUGAAUGAAACUUCAAGGUUUUGAUUGAAAACCUAUGAAACU